rnacentral:piRNA from 1 species
UUCAAUGCUAUCCCAAAAGUCCCCCAUAC